rnacentral:rRNA from 1 species
UGGUGGCGAGUGGCGAACGGGUGAGUAAUGUAUCGGAACGUGCCCAGUUGUGGGGGAUAACUACUUGAAAGAGUGGCUAAUACCGCAUACGACCUGAGGGUGAAAGCGGGGGAUCGCAAGGCCUCGCGCAAUUGGAGCGGCCGAUAUCAGAUUAGCUAGUUGGCGGGGUAAAAGCCCACCAAGGCGACGAUCUGUAGCUGGUCUGAGAGGACGACCAGCCACACUGGGACUGAGACACGGCCCAGACUCCUACGGGAGGCAGCAGUGGGGAAUUUUGGACAAUGGGCGCAAGCCUGAUCCAGCCAUGCCGCGUGAGUGAAGAAGGCCUUCGGGUUGUAAAGCUCUUUCGGCCGGGAAGAAAUCGCAUGGGUUAAUACCCUGUGCGGAUGACGGUACCGGCAUAAGAAGCACCGGCUAACUACGUGCCAGCAGCCGCGGUAAUACGUAGGGUGCGAGCGUUAAUCGGAAUUACUGGGCGUAAAGCGUGCGCAGGCGGUUUUGUAAGACAGGCGUGAAAUCCCCGGGCUCAACCUGGGAACUGCGCUUGUGACUGCAAGGCUAGAGUACGGCAGAGGGGGGUGGAAUUCCACGUGUAGCAGUGAAAUGCGUAGAGAUGUGGAGGAACACCAAUGGCGAAGGCAGCCCCCUGGGUCGAUACUGACGCUCAUGCACGAAAGCGUGGGUAGCAAACAGGAUUAGAUACCCUGGUAGUCCACGCCCUAAACGAUGUCAACUAGGUGUUGGGUGGGGUAAAACCAUUUAGUACCGGAGCUAACGCGU